AUUGAACGCUGGCGGCAUGCCUUACACAUGCAAGUCGAACGGUAACAGGUCUUCGGAUGCUGACGAGUGGCGAACGGGUGAGUAAUACAUCGGAACGUGCCUAGUAGUGGGGGAUAACUACUCGAAAGAGUGGCUAACACCGCAUGAGAUCUACGGAUGAAAGCAGGGGAUCGCAAGACCUUGUGCUACUAGAGCGGCCGAUGGCAGAUUAGGUAGUUGGUGGGAUAAAAGCUUACCAAGCCGACGAUCUGUAGCUGGUCUGAGAGGACGAUCAGCCACACUGGGACUGAGACACGGCCCAGACUCCUACGGGAGGCAGCAGUGGGGAAUUUUGGACAAUGGGCGCAAGCCUGAUCCAGCAAUGCCGCGUGCAGGAUGAAGGCCUUCGGGUUGUAAACUGCUUUUGUACGGAACGAAAAGCCCUGGGUUAAUACCCUGGGGUCAUGACGGUACCGUAAGAAUAUGCACCGGCUAACUACGUGCCAGCCGCCGCGGUAACAC
rnacentral:rRNA from 1 species